GGAGAAACUCAUCAUGUCACUUGUGGCAUCCCACCUCAUCAGAAUACAGUUUUCUCCAGAUGAGCUGGAUCAGACCAGAGGUCCAGUCAGUGACCUGUUACAGCCAGGCUGCACAGAGUGACCCCCACUGCCCCCUCACUCCACCACCAGCGCCCGUCCCUUUGCCCCCGCUCCCCUCCCAAAUGCUGAGGCAUCACUGCUCCCGAGCACACAGUCCUGUAGCACCCCCUGACCCCGCGCUGUCCCCCAUUAUAGAGCAGUCAGAAAGCUUUUAGGGGCUCCGGUAACGCUGAAAGAUUGAUGGCGUAAAAUGGGGUGGAGGAGGGGGGAAGAGCAGGUGGUUAAGAAGAGAAUGUCCUGCUUAAUGGGUUGCCAGGAAUGUAAUUCAAUAAUUAUGAAAAGUGACUCAGGAGAGCUGCUGGAUGGAUGGAUGGCUGGACGGCCACAGAGGGAAACAAGCAGAGAGGCGGCGUGCACAUGCCUGAGCAUCCUCUUCCUCCUGGCUGGGCGGAAACAGCAGACCAGAUGCAAAACUCUGCAGACCUGCUGCAUCGCUUCAGAGCCUAGCAUUAACCGUCAGGCCAUCAGUCUGCGGCCCUGCUGCUCUCUCAGACCUUCAUCCUGCCAACUCCAGCGUGGAGGGUCUGCAGGACAUCGUGUAUCCACGCUGGAGUUGCUGAAAGCUGGCAUGGUGGGAGCAGAUUGCUGCCUAAUUGUGCUUUUCAGAGCUGCUGUGCUGCUGGGGGUUACAACAGGGCUGCAUGCGGUCUGUGGAUGCCGCACCGAUGGAAUCCAACCAGGCAGGGUCUCAUUGAUCUGCUGAAGCAAAGGUCAACACAGUUAUGCAUCUGUAGGCUGAAGGAAGGCCACCAGAGAAGAACAGGACAGGAUUCAGACAUGUUUGGCAGCUCUCCACCAGCCAACCCCUGCUAUUUUCACCCCACACACAUCCGUCGCUGCACUUAUCCAGCCUCAGACGGCUGCUGGCUCGGUAGCUAAACGGAUUAUCCAACAACAGAGCACCUCUCCUUCUCCCUCUCUUCCUCUCCCUCUCUCCAUGCACUCCUCUAGCCGUGGGUCCUCGGAGGCGGUGGGGGCCCUAUUGAGCGGGGCCCAGGCUCUCCACUAGCCCAGGCUCUUUAUUGAGGCGUCUAUGGGGCUUUAUGCUGCCAGCGCUCGGCCUUGCCCUCGCCAUCAUCAAUCAUCCUCGGCUCCAGGGCUGCUAUCACGGCCCCGGACAGGCGGCCAAUCACAGCCCUCCAGGAAGCUCUAUAGGAGACAGAGAGAGAAGCAGAGGAGAGGAGAAAACUGGAGAAUCACUGUGUUUCUGUUGCUCUGAGUAUCCAGUCUGAUGUGAUUGACAUGUUGUGGCUGCAUGACAAGACUGCCCUGAGCUCUCAUCCUGCUCCAGGAGGAAUAGGCGGAAUCUGAUUACAGACCUAUUUUACAGCAGACGCCGGGGCGCAAUAAAGGGAGAGAGAGCACGGAAACGGGACUCGGCCCAUCAAUUAGAUCUCUAUUAGCAGCCAAUGCAGACCUCACCUCAGGAAACGCCGGGGCCCUGAAAUUAAACAAUUCUUCAAGAACGACAAGCCAUCAGCUCUGCUGUAUGUUGGAGAAGAGAGAGAGAGAGAGAGAGAGGAGGGGUGGGUGUCCUCACAGAGCAAACUAUCCUACAAUACCUGUUAUAAAUCCAUUAAAAAAGAUAGUAUGGACCAUGUGGUAUUGCUCCAAAGACACAGGAUGAUAAAGAAGACAUUACCUAUAACAUGAAGCCUUCUCUGAGCACCACACACAGACUAUAAAUCCUUAUUUUAAUACCAUGCAGCUGAUACAUUGACAUUAAAAGCCCAUAAAGUAUAAUAGAGCCAAAGAUUUCCCUGUUUGCUAUCACAAAUACAAUCGCAGACAUAUGACCGGUUCAAAAGCUAAUACAUCUUAAUAA